GAUGAACGCUGGCGGCGGGCCUAAUACAUGCAAGUCGAGCGAACAGACGAGGAGCUUGCUCCUCUGACGUUAGCGGCGGACGGGCGAGUAACACGUGGAUAACCUACCUAUAAGACUGGGAUAACUUCGGGAAACCGGAGCUAAUACCGGAUAAUAUAUUGAACCGCAUGGAUCAAUAGUGAUAGACGGUUUUGGUGUCACUUAUAGAUGGUUCCGCGCCGCAUUAGCUAGUUGGUAAGGUAACGGCUUACCAAGGCAACGAUGCGUAGCUGAUCUGAGAGGAUGAUCGGCCACACUGGAACUGAGACACGGUCCAGACUCCUACGGGAGGCAGCAGUAGGGAAUCUUCGGCAAAGGGCGAAAGCCUGACGGAGCAACGCCGCGUGAGUGAUGAAGGUCUUCGGAUCGUAAAACUCUGUUAUUAGGGAAGAACAAAUGUGUAAGUAACUAUGCACGUCUUGACGGUACCUAAUCGGAAAGCCACGGCUAACUACGUG
rnacentral:rRNA from 1 species